UACGAAGGGGGCUAGCGUUGCUCGGAAUCACUGGGCGUAAAGCGCACGUAGGCGGGUUCUUAAGUCAGGGGUGAAAUCCUGGAGCUCAACUCCAGAACUGCCUUUGAUACUGGGAAUCUCGAGUCCGGGAGAGGUGAGUGGAACUGCGAGUGUGGAGGUGAAAUUCGUAGAUAUUCGCAAGAACACCAGUGGCGAAGGCGGCUCACUGGCCCGGUACUGACGCUGAGGUGCGAAAGCGUGGGGAGCAAACAGG
rnacentral:rRNA from 1 species